rnacentral:rRNA from 1 species
UGGGGAAUAUUGGACAAUGGGCGAAAGCCUAAUCCAGCCAUGCCGCGUGUGUGAAGAAGGCCUUUUGGUUGUAAAGCACUUUAAGUGGGGAGGAAAAGCUUGUGGUUAAUACCCAUAAGCCCUGACGUUACCCACAGAAUAAGCACCGGCUAACUCUGUGCCAGCAGCCGCGGUAAUACAGAGGGUGCAAGCGUUAAUCGGAAUUACUGGGCGUAAAGCGCGCGUAGGUGGUUAUUUAAGUCAGAUGUGAAAGCCCCGGGCUUAACCUGGGAACUGCAUCUGAUACUGGAUAACUAGAGUAGGUGAGAGGGGAGUAGAAUUCCAGGUGUAGCGGUGAAAUGCGUAGAGAUCUGGAGGAAUACCGAUGGCGAAGGCAGCUCCCUGGCAUCAUACUGACACUGAGGUGCGAAAGCGUGGGUAGCAAACAGGAUUAGAUACCCUGGUAGUCCACGCCGUAAACGAUGUCUACCAGUCGUUGGGUCUUUUAAAGACUUAGUGACGCAGUUAACGCAAUAAGUAGACCGCCUGGGGAGUACGGCCGCAAGGUUA